AUGGGGAGACCUAUUGUUGAUUAUUUUGGUGCCCAUGAUGGUCUGCAAGGGAACAAGGAUUUGGUUUCUACUUUUAUUGUUGAUGGUUCUUGGGUGCUUCCUGAUCUACUUCAACUUCACUUUCUAGCUUUAUGUAAUAAAAUUGAGCAGGUCCCUCUUGCUACUAAUGCUUCGAUGGAGGACACUCUUAUUUGGAUGCCUUCGUCUACAGGAGAUUUGAUUGCAAAGCAUGCUUACCAAUUUUUACGGCAUCCAUCUCCCUCCAUGCCUUGGAGUUUUGGUGCAGAGUGUCAAUUGGGAAGAGCUCCAAGAAUUAUUGAGGUUGUUUGGCAUCCUCCAGUCAUUGGGUGGGUGAAGAUUAAUUCGGAUGGAGCUUGGAAGCAUGCAGAGGGUGUUGGAGGUUUUGGUGCUGUUUUUCGUGACUUUAAAGGUCAUGUUCUUGGUGCUUUUUCUUCCAACAUUGACAUUCCUAGUUCAGUAGCAGCAGAGGUGAUGGCAGUUAUAGUUGCUAUUGAGCUUGCUUGGGUACGAGACUGGAAGCAUAUUUGGUUAGAGGUUGACUCGUCACUUGUGUUAGACUAUCUACGGUCUCCUUUGCUUGUACCUUGGCAUCUACGUGUCCGUUGGCUUAAUUGUUUACGUUGCAUAUCGAAUAUGACAUUUCGAUCUUCUCAUAUUUUUCGUGAAGGGAAUAAGGUUGCAGAUGCUCUGGCUAAUCAUGACUACUUCUCAGAUCAAAGAGCAACACUUGCACUGCCGGAAAUGGCUUCCUCAAGAUUUAUUUUCUUCCUUUCUUCUGGUGUUCUUGUACUCGUGAUGUUCACUCGAGCCCUAGCUCAGCCAGCUUUUCUAAACAGCUUCUGUUUAAAUGAUAAAGGCAACUACACCACUAACAGUACCUACCAAAGAAACCUCAACGCCCUACUCACCUCCCUUCCGGCCUCAAACAACAAUACCGGCUACGGCUUUUACUAUUCGUUCAACGGCGAAAACCCUAAUCGAGUUUAUGCAAUCGGACACUGCAGAGGCGACAUCGCCACCGAUGAUUGUCGUAGUUGCCUCAACGACUCUAGAGUUGGUCUCACAAAGCUUUGUCCCAACCAGAAAGAAGCUAUUGGUUGGUACGACGGUUGCAUGUUACGGUACUCGAACCGCUCUAUCUAUGGCGUUAUGGAAACUGAGCCUAAUUUCGGUCUGGUCAAUAGCCAGGACGUAGCAUCAUCUAUUUCAGAAGUAUUCUUUCAACAGCUUGAAAAGUUAAUGGAAAGCUUGAAGAGUCAAGCUUCUUUGGCCGGUCCUCUUCGUAAGUUUGCCAGCGGAAACACGACCGCAGGAACUUUCCAAAAUAUAUAUGCACUUACGCAGUGCACGCCAGACUUAUCGGAGAAAAAUUGCAGUGAUUGCUUGGAGGGUGCUUUCGGACAAUACACCGCGUUUGGUCUGAGAAAGAUAGGUGGGAGAAUUAUUAGACCCAGCUGUAUUUUUUGGUAUGAGAUUAGAAGCUUCAUUGACCCAGCAAAUGUGGUACCACUGCCAUCACCACCAUCACCAUCACCAUCAUCAACAUCUCCUCCCCAACCAUCAACCAAUACUACCGCACCCGGAGUCAUCAUUGUUGUUGCGUCUAUCGGUACUUUGCUGGUGGCUCUGAUUAUAUCCAUUUGCAUAUGUUUAAGAGUAAGGAAGACCCAGGAAAAGCUAGAGAAAAAGAUAAUUCCAGGUGAAGAUGUUGAUGACAUUCAAAGUUCAGAAGCCUUGCAAUUUGACUUUGACACCAUUAGAGAUGCUACAGAUAACUUUUCAGAUGCAAAUAAACUUGGAGAAGGGGGAUUCGGUUCUGUUUACAAGGGUCACCUUCUCAAUGGAGAAGUUAUAGCAGUGAAAAGACUUUCUAAAGAUUCUGGGCAAGGAAUUUCAGAAUUUAAAAACGAGGUCUUGUUAGUGGCCAAGCUUCAACAUCGGAAUUUAGUAAGGCUUCUGGGUUUCUGCUUGGAAGGAAAUGAAAAGCUUCUUGUUUAUGAAUUUGUCCCGAAUACAAGUCUCGAUCAUAUUAUAUUUGACCCAAUUAAGCGUACACAAUUGGAUUGGGACAGACGCUACAAAAUCAUAGUGGGAUUGCUCGAGGGCUCCUUUACCUUCAUGAAGAUUCUCGACUUCGAAUUAUUCAUCGUGACCUCAAAGUUAGUAACAUCUUGUUAGAUGCAGAACUAAAUCCUAAAAUUGCAGAUUUUGGAAUGGCAAGAUUGUUCGUACCUGAUCAGACUCAAGGCAAUACGAGUCGAAUUGUCGGGACCUAUGGCUAUAUGGCUCCAGAAUAUGCAAUGCAUGGACAAUUCUCGGUCAAGUCUGAUGUCUAUAGUUUCGGCGUGUUAGUUUUAGAGAUCAUCACUGGACAAAAGAAUAGUUGUUUUCGACCUGGAGGGAAUGCAGAGGAUCUUCUAAGCUAUGCAUGGAAAAGUUGGAAGGAAGGGACAGCUGCAAAUCUAAUAGAUCCCACAUUGAGGAAUGGCUCGAGAUUUGAAAUAAUGAGAUGCAUCCACAUUGGAUUAUUAUGUGUACAAGAUAAUAUAGUUGAUAGGCCAACAAUGACUUCGAUUAGUAUCAUGCUGAAUAGCUACUCUCUUGCUCUCCCAGUACCCUCAUCACCCAACUUUUUUAUGACGAGCAGGACUGAUCCACUACUGGAAAUGGACUACUCUUCUACGGUGAUUGAGUCCGAUCAAUCAAAAAGCAGCAGCUCCUUGAUCAAUGCAUCAGUCCAUGACGAUUCAACUGAAAUAUUCCCUCGCUAUCACUUAGAUGUUUCUGGUAUUAGCUUACUGAGUUUUCUACGUCACAAGGGAAACAGGGGUCAUAAUGUUUACACUUUGAAUUUUGAGAUGGGUAGCGGAAAGAAGAAAAUUGACAUAGAGCCGAUCUCAGACUACCAGUCUCGCAUGGUGGCUUUCACCAGGAGACGAACAGGUCUCUUCAAAAAAGCACAGAAGCUCGAAGACAUAUCUGGUUCAUCCAUUGCCAUUGCUGUGAUAUCCGAGACCGGUCAACCUUACCUCCACGGCUCUCCUUCCUUGCUUGAACGAGCUCUUGCCUCCACCACCACUGCUGCCUCUUCCUCCACAGCUACUUCCACCACCACAUUUGAAGCAACUGGCUCUUCCACCACUACCGCCGCUACGGGAACUUUUGAAGAACUCAAGGCUUUGGUGAACACUGAAGUUGAGGCUUGUACUAGUCCGGAAGAAAAAGAGCGUUUGAAAAGGAAAUUGUUGGAUUACAUAAGCAGGCUGGAUGAAAAACUUUGUGAAAGUGAUCGAUUUUCAACGAGGAACUGA